rnacentral:rRNA from 1 species
AGCACAGGUUUACCUGUGUGACUGCGUACCUUUUGUAUAAUGGGUCAGCGACUUAUAUUCUGUAGCAAGGUUAACCGUAUAGGGGAGCCGUAGGGAAACCGAGUCUUAACCGGGCGUUAAGUUGCAGGGUAUAGACCCGAAACCCGGUGAUCUAGCCAUGGGCAGGUUGAAGGUUGGGUAACACUAACUGGAGGACCGAACCGACUAAUGUUGAAAAAUUAGCGGAUGACCUGUGGCUGGGGGUGAAAGGCCAAUCAAACCGGGAGAUAGCUGGUUCUCCCCGAAAGCUAUUUAGGUAGCGCCUCGUGAAUUCAUCUCCGGGGGUAGAGCACUGUUUCGGCUAGGGGGCCAUCCCGGCUUACCAACCCGAUGCAAACUGCGAAUACCGGAGAAUGUUAUCACGGGAGACACACGGCGGGUGCUAACGUCCGUCGUGAAGAGGGAAACAACCCAGACCGCCAGCUAAGGUCCCAAAGUCAUGGUUAAGUGGGAAACGAUGUGGGAAGGCCCAGACAGCCAGGAUGUUGGCUUAGAAGCAGCCAUCAUUUAAAGAAAGCGUAAUAGCUCACUGGUCGAGUCGGCCUGCGCGGAAGAUGUAACGGGGCUAAACCAUGCACCGAAGCUGCGGCAGCGAACGUAUCACUUAAAGCGAUUCAGCGGGUUACGAUUGACGGAGCGAAGCGACGUCAAAGCGUAUACAAAGUCGAGUCGGUUUAAGGAUACGUUCGUUGGGUAGGGGAGCGUUCUGUAAGCCCGUGAAGGUGGCCUGUGAGGGUUGCUGGAGGUAUCAGAAGUGCGAAUGCUGACAUAAGUAACGAUAAAGCGGGUGAAAAGCCCGCUCGCCGGAAGACCAAGGGUUCCUGUCCAACGUUAAUCGGGGCAGGGUGAGUCGACCCCUAAGGCGAGGCCGAAAGGCGUAGUCGAUGGGAAACGGGUUAAUAUUCCCGUACUUGGUGUUACUGCGAAGGGGGGACGGAGAAGGCUAUGUUGGCCGGGCGACGGUUGUCCCGGUUUAAGCGUGUAGGUGUGUGUUCCAGGUAAAUCCGGUUCACUUUAACACUGAGGCGUGACGACGAGGCACUACGGUGCUGAAGCAACAAAUGCCCUGCUUCCAGGAAAAGCCUCUAAGCAUCAGGUAACAUCAAAUCGUACCCCAAACCGACACAGGUGGUCAGGUAGAGAAUACCAAGGCGCUUGAGAGAACUCGGGUGAAGGAACUAGGCAAAAUGGUGCCGUAACUUCGGGAGAAGGCACGCUGACAUGUAGGUGAAGUGAUUUACUCAUGGAGCUGAAGUCAGUCGAAGAUACCAGCUGGCUGCAACUGUUUAUUAAAAACACAGCACUGUGCAAACACGAAAGUGGACGUAUACGGUGUGACGCCUGCCCGGUGCCGGAAGGUUAAUUGAUGGGGUCAGCGCAAGCGAAGCUCCUGAUCGAAGCCCCGGUAAACGGCGGCCGUAACUAUAACGGUCCUAAGGUAGCGAAAUUCCUUGUCGGGUAAGUUCCGACCUGCACGAAUGGCGUAAUGAUGGCCAGGCUGUCUCCACCCGAGACUCAGUGAAAUUGAACUCGCUGUGAAGAUGCAGUGUACCCGCGGCAAGACGGAAAGACCCCGUGAACCUUUACUAUAGCUUGACACUGAACAUUGAGCCUUGAUGUGUAGGAUAGGUGGGAGGCUUUGAAGUGU